rnacentral:rRNA from 1 species
UACGGAGGAUGCAAGCGUUAUCCGGAAUGAUUGGGCGUAAAGGGUCCGUAGGUGGUGAUGUAUGUCUAUUGUCAAAGGUUCUGGCUUAACCAGAGACAGGCAGUAGAAACUGCAAAACUAGAGUGCAGUCGGGGCAGGGGGAAGUCCUGGUGUAGCGGUGAAAUGCGUAGAGUUCAGGAAGAACACCGGUGGCGAAAGCGCCCUGCUAGGCUGUGACGAACACUGAGGGACGAAAGCUAGGGGAGCGAAUGGG